UGUUGGCACUGAAGAGUAUAUAGCUCCGGUUCGUUUACUCUCAACCUGCAUAUUUUGUAAACAAUCCUUGGUUAUCCAAGUAGCAAAGUGAUUCCAUGUAUUGCUAUGUGGCAAUAUAUAUCUAGAGGUUUACCUACUGAAUAACAUUCAUUCAUCUGUCAAUAUUUAAGUUAAAGAAUGGAAAAUCCAAGUUAAAGAUUUCUGUGCUUCAAUUUGAUCUGCGUCAUGCUGGGAGUGAUACUUCUCAAUCAAGUUUAAAACUAAAUUCCAAACAUAAUUUUAGAAGGUUCAAGUUUAAAACUUUCCAGCCAUCCUCUCCCUGAAAAACACAUUGUUCUUUUUUCUUCUUUGGGUUAAGCUACAUAUAACUUCUCAUGAAUUUGCUUCAUCAAUGACAUGAUAGCUUUUGGUUCUGGUGAACUGUGAUGCUAAAUUUUCUUUCUAUUCUUUUUCAGGAAAUUAUAACUGGGGCAGG
rnacentral:misc_RNA from 1 species